UACGGGGGGAGCAAGCGUUGUUCGGAUUUACUGGGCGUAAAGGGCGCGUAGGCGGUCAGCACAAGUCAGUUGUGAAAUCUCCGGGCUUAGCUCGGAAAGGUCAACUGAUACUGUGCGACUAGAGUGCGGAAGGGGCAACUGGAAUUCCGGGUGUAGCGGUGAAAUGCGUAGAUAUCCGGAGGAACACCGGUGGCGAAGGCGGCUUCCUGGACCGAUACUGACGCUGAGGCGCGAAAGCUAGGGGAGCAAACGGG
rnacentral:rRNA from 1 species